UACGUAGGGUGCGAGCGUUGUCCGGAUUUAUUGGGCGUAAAGAGCUCGUAGGCGGUUUGUCGCGUCGGCCGUGAAAUCUCCACGCUUAACGUGGAGCGUGCGGUCGAUACGGGCAGACUUGAGUUCGGUAGGGGAGACUGGAAUUCCUGGUGUAGCGGUGAAAUGCGCAGAUAUCAGGAGGGAACACCCGGGUGGGCGAAGGGCGGGGUCUCUGGGCCGAUACUGACGCUGAUGCGCGAAAGCCAGGGGAGCGAACGGG
rnacentral:rRNA from 1 species